GGGCUUUAAGUGGGCCGGUCCAUGGCUAUGAAAAUGAAAACCUAGAACCUUCUUUUCACUCUUAUAUAUGAGUUUAGGGGUUCUCAAAACACAUACACACAAUGACACACACUUGGAUCUGCUAAUUCCUCCAUUUUCUUCUCUGUGUUCAUUUUUUUUUGUAUUAUUCAUUUGUUAAAUUGCAAGUGGGCAAAAAAGCGGCGAACAGAUGAUGAUUCAUCAAUUAUGAACAGAGAAGCUUGCAAUUCAUUCUGCAAGCAAUGCUCAUUCUCAUACUUCCAUGACUCUGAUGUGCCAAACCUUUUUCCCUUUUUCUUUCUCAUUCUUCCUUCUCUCAUCCUUGAUUUCAUACCCUCAUCUUUUUUUUUUCUUCUUUCUUUCUUUUCUCACUGUGAUCAUAGCUUUGUGAAUUGCCAACUUUUAUCUUACUCUGCAUGUUCUCUUUAAAUUAUUUUUCGCUCGACUGAUCAUCAUUUCCACGGAGAUCAUAAUUGCUGAAAUCUGUUUUGCUAUUCAAACACAAUUAAUUCCAUGAAUCCGUACAGGCCUUUUGCUGUGCAUAGAUUGUAUCGAGGGAAAUUUAAGAAAUAUGGUGAUAAGUGAUACGGUUGUGUUAAAGCAGGGGUGGAUCGUUGCCGUUGAAAGUAAGCAAUUGAUCUGCCACAAAUAGUGAUGCAUCGGGGUGAUUUUAAAAUUUGUUUAAAUUGACUUUAUAGUCAAUCAAUAACAAUAUUUAUAACACCGAAUUUAUGUUCAAAAUCCAUAUUAUUUGGUUAUUUUGCCAGAGAGAAUCCUAAGGUAGUUUUGAAUGUGAUUGUAUCAAAAGGUUAACGAUUCUUAAUGGGUAUGGAAUACAAAGAUGUUUCUAUACUCCUCUUUCAUGGGAAAUAGUUAGAAACAGCGUUUAAUAGUUUUUUUUUUUAAAUCGUUUUUAAUUUUUCUCGUUCAUCUGUUCAUCCUCGAGACUGUCGAUAUUUUUUUAAAAAAAAGUAUUAAAAUUUUCAGUUUCGUUUAGAAUUUUUUUAUCUUUACUAUUUUACCAUUUUUCAAAUUUCGCAUAUCUUAACUACUUUUUUAUCUUUUCAAAAUUAUCUUAUCAAAUAUUAAAAAUAUGAUUGGAUAAACUAUGCAUAAUAUUUGGAAAAAAAUUAUUUCUCAGUAUCAACUAAAUCUUUUUUAGCCUGUCAAGAUUUCAAGUAUAAUUUUGUGAACAUGAAUUCGAAUAAAAGAUUUUGAAAAUUGUAUAAUCCGGAGAAAAUUAAUUAAGAUUCAAAAUUGAAGAAUAAAUCUCGGUUUUCGAAUUUAUAAGAUAAAAAAAAUAGAAAAUAAUUAAACUUUGGAUUGAUUUGAAAAAUUGUUUUAAAUCUCACCUGUUUUUGUCAAUUUCUCCACUUUCAUAGCAAUAACAGUGAAAGUUAAUUUAUUUAUGAUAAAAUAUCAUUUUUUUAGAAGAUAAAAAGUAUCAAGGUUCACUAUUUUACUAUUAAAAAUGCGGUACAAAGAAAUAUAUGGCUUCAAUAUAUAGAGGGCAAAUACUAUGAUAGCAUACGAUCAUUCAUAAUUUCAUACAAUAUUCAUUACAUUUAUAUUUUAAUAAUUAAUGUUAAAAAGUGGAGGAAUAAGAAUAAGGUAGAAAGGUAAAGAAAAAAAAGAGAAACGGUGGAAUAAAAUUUUUAAAAGAAAAGGUGAGAUUGCCAAGCAAAGCACAUGAAAAAGUUAUUUGGGUAAAAAACUCCCUUUAAGUGUAUCUCAUGUACAAGUUAUUAGGGAUUUUGCAAAUGUCAUUUGAUCACGAUUGACAUCAUUUAUUUAGCAUUGUCACCCUAAAUUUUCUUUUAACACCCAAAUAGUGGAAAUAGUGGGAUUAGUCGGAGGGGGCAAGAUGUAUAUAUAUGUAUAAAAGAAACUAUAGUGAUAGUUCAAAAGUAUAUGAAAAAGUUAGUGGAUUAUUUGGUUCAGGUAAACAAACAUGACCUAAUCAAAACUCCAAGUCUCAAGCAAGAAGCAAUGAAUUGGAGAGGUGAUUUUAGGUUCAACAAUUCAAUCGUUCGUUACUGGGCUCUAUAAAAUAUGACAAAACAAAAUGCCAUGCCAAAUCAUGG
rnacentral:lncRNA from 1 species